GCCUUACUGCGUUUUGUGAAGAGGUCUAGUUCUGAAAAAUAAAAGUUAAAACAAUGAAAAUAUUUUAGUCUUCCCGAGCUGACAAUUGUUUAUGUGUAACUAAGUAUCAUUUGAAAUUUUCUUUUCCGUUUCAUAUGUUGAAUAUAGGGAUAGUGCCAGGAAAGCUCUUAAGUUCUGCUACUUGAUUAUGCCUUAAACAGAAAUUCAACUUUAUUUUUUCUCUUGUAGGCCUCAUUUGAGCGAGCAAAAAAAUGGGUGCUAGAACUGAAAUCACAAGGGCUGUAAGACGUCAGUUUGCUCUUUGUGCUGGCUUGCUGCAAGAAAAUGGAUCCUUAUUUACUGGCUAUCAUUUUCAUGGAUGCCCACAAUAGCAAAGACAAAUUUAAUCAUGCUUUGGGUUAUGCAUAUAUACUCACGCACCCCGGAAUACCUUCCA